rnacentral:lncRNA from 1 species
UUUGUUUUUGUUUUUUUUGUUUGUUUGUUGCUUUGUUCUGUUUUGAUGAUACGUAAUUGUUCACUAGUCCAGUAGUCAGCCCUCCAGUGUUGAGUUGAACUAUCAUUUGAUAUGGUAAUAUUAAUAAAUUAACUGUUUACAAAACUUUGAAUUGUUUGAAUUACUUAGAAUGUUUUUAAGUUUUGGUCCUUAAUGCUUUUCAACUUCUUCCUGUAUUUGGCCUUCAAACUGCUCUCAUACGAACAUCACUUAUAAGGCUUGUGUAUGCAAAAC